CAGUGUUCACACUGCAAAAAACAAUAAAUCUUCUAGUACCUUUUGGCAAUAUUCUGUAGAAAUCAAGGAUUGUACAAGCCCUUGAGACUGAAUGGUCCUUUUAACCUCACCCUCUCACUGUAUAAUAGGUGGAUAAGGAACUGUGAGGAGCUUACAUUAUCUGUAUCCCGAUUGGGAUGGUUUUGGUAGCUGCAGCUGUCAGUAUGACUUGUUGUUGUGUUGCUUUCAGAUGUUAGCCACCUGUGUUAGGCCUCUGCACGCACUGACCAAUAGCCUGAUCAGGGCCAAAUGACUGCAGACACACAUUAGACCCCAGUGCAGAACCAUGAGAUACGGGGAAAGGGGUAGAGUCAUAUGUCAACUGUGUGGCAAGGGAGGGCAUACUUCCCCAAGUUUUUAACUCCGAACCACCCUUCUGAGAGUUCAUAACAUACUGCGCAAGUGCGGAGGUGAGAUCAUCCCAUCUCUGGUGAUCAAAGAUCUCCUGGGGGGCUUUAAUCUCCCCCUCCUGCUCUAACUGGGAAAUAACUUCGUGGAUAUCCUUCUUAGAAGGAGCAUUCUUUUCGCAAUAGUCUUUACAAAACUGAAGCAGUACCUUAAGAACAUGUUCCAUAGUCAGCCCGUCGCCGUCACCGCAAAUUCACACUCUACACCGUCGUCCACACGGGUCCUCCAUGGGCGUCCCGUCGUCCCCCCGGACCCCACCGCAACACAGGUUCUACUUGCCGGCCGGCACUAUCGUCGUCACCAUGAUCUUCUGCAGGGCGUCACCCCAAUCGUCUUCUGCAGGCUCCCCUCUCUUCAGGGCACUCGGGCUGGGCAUCACCCCAAAUCUCGUGCUAUGGUGUCACCCCACAGCUCGCAGCAGCACAGAGAGCAUCAGAACACAGUCCGUGCCUCAUGCAUUCCUCACAUGGGGCACCAUUUGUUGCUUUUAGCAACAAUGAUGUUAGCCACCUGUGUUAGGCCUCUGCACGCACUGACCAAUUGCCUGAUCAGGGCCAAAUGACUGCAGACACACACCAAUAUGAUGAGCAGCAAAA
ensembl:lncRNA